AUGGGCCCGCGGCGCAUUAGCUAGUUGGUGAGGUAACGGUUCACCAAAGCGACGAUGCGUAGCCGACCUGAGAGGGUGAUCGUCCACACUGGGACUGAGACAAGGAGCCGACUCCUACGGGAGGCAGCAGUAGGGAAUCUUUCACAAUGGGCGAAAGCCUGAUGGAGCAACGCCGCGUGAGUGAAGAAGGAUUUCGGUUCGUAAAACUCUGUUGUAAGGGAAGAACAAGUACAGUAGUAACUGGCUGUACCUUGACGGUACCUUAUUAGAAAGCCACGGCUAACUACGUGCCAGCAGCCGCGGUAAUACGUAGGUGGCAAGCGUUGUCCGGAAUUAUUGGGCGUAAAGCGCGCGCAGGUGGUUUCUUAAGUCUGAUGUGAAAGCCCACGGCUCAACCGUGGAGGGUCAUUGGAAACUGGGAGACUUGAGUGCAGAAGAGGAUAGUGGAAUUCCAAGUGUAGCGGUGAAAUGCGUAGAGAUUUGGAGGAACACCAGUGGCGAAGGCGACUAUCUGGUCUGUAACUGACACUGAGGCGCGAAAGCGUGGGGAGCAAACAGGAUUAGAUACCCUGGUAGUCCACGCCGUAAACGAUGAGUGCUAAGUGUUAGGGGGUUUCCGCCCCUUAGUGCUGCAGCUAACGCAUUAAGCACUCCGCCUGGGGAGUACGGUCGCAAGACUGAAACUCAAAGGAAUUGACGGGGGCCCGCACAAGCGGUGGAGCAUGUGGUUUAAUUCGAAGCAACGCGAAGAACCUUACCAGGUCUUGACCUCCCGUUGACCACUGUAGAGAUAUGGUUUCCCCUUCGGGGGCAACGGUGACAGGUGGUGCAUGGUUGUCGUCAGCUCGUGUCGUGGGGUGUUGGGUUAAGUCCCGCAACGAGCGCAACCCUUGAUCUUAGUUGCCAUCAUUUAGUUGGGCACUCUAAGGUGACUGCCGGUGACAAACCGGAGGAAGGUGGGGAUGACGUCAAAUCAUCAUGCCCCUUAUGACCUGGGCUACACACGUGCUACAAUGGACGAUACAAACGGUUGCCAACUCGCGAGAGGGAGCUAAUCCGAUAAAGUCGUUCUCAGUUCGGAUUGUAGGCUGCAACUCGCCUACAUGAAGCCG
rnacentral:rRNA from 1 species